UACGUAGGGGGCUAGCGUUGUCCGGAAUCAUUGGGCGUAAAGCGCGCGUAGGCGGCCCGGUAAGUCCGCUGUAAAAGUCAAAGGCUCAACCUUUGAAUGUCAGUGGAUACUGCCGGGCUAGAGUCCGGAAGAGGCGAGUGGAACUCCUGGUGUAGCGGUGGAAUGCGCAGAUAUCAGGAAGAACACCUGCGGCGAAGGCGGGUUGCUGGGCCGACACUGACGCUGAGGCGCGAAAGCCAGGGGAGCGAACGGG
rnacentral:rRNA from 1 species